CCUACGGGAGGCAGCAGUGAGGAAUAUUGGUCAAUGGACGGGAGACUGAACCAGCCAAGCCGCGUGAGGGAUGAAGGUACAGAGUAUCGUAAACCUCUUUUGUCAGGGAACAAAGGCGGGGACGUGUCCCCGGAUGAGUGUACCUGAAGAAAAAGCAUCGGCUAACUCCGUGCCAGCAGCCGCGGUAAUACGGAGGAUGCGAGCGUGAUCCGGAUUUAGUGGGUUAAAAGGGUGAGCAGGCGGGCGUGUAAGUCAGCGGUCAAAGCCAGGGGCUCAACCCCGGCCCGCCGUUGAAACUGGCAGUCUCGAGUUGGAGAGAAGUAUGCGGAAUGCGCGGUGUAGCGGUGAAAUGCAUAGAUAUCGCGCAGAACUCCGAUUGCGAAGGCAGCAUGCCGGCUCCACACUGACGCUGAGGCACGAAAGCGUGGGUAUCGAACAGGAUUAGAUACCCCAGUAGUC
rnacentral:rRNA from 1 species